rnacentral:rRNA from 1 species
CCUACGGGAGGCAGCAGUGGGGAAUAUUGCACAAUGGGGGAAACCCUGAUGCAGCAACGCCGCGUGAGUGAAGAAGUAUUUCGGUAUGUAAAGCUCUAUCAGCAGGGAAGAGAAUGACGGUACCUGACUAAGAAGCCCCGGCUAACUACGUGCCAGCAGCCGCGGUAAUACGUAGGUGGCAAGCGUUGUCCGGAUUUACUGGGUGUACAGGGCGUGCAGCCGGAGAGGCAAGUCAGAUGUGAAAUCCGCGGACUCACAUCGCGAACUGCAUUUGAUACUGCUUCCCUUGAGUAUCGGAGAGGUAA